rnacentral:rRNA from 1 species
CCUACGGGAGGCAGCAGUGGGGAAUAUUGGGCAAUGGGCGCAAGCCUGACCCAGCAACGCCGCGUGAAGGAAGAAGGCUUUCGGGUUGUAAACUUCUUUUCUCAGGGACGAAGCAAGUGACGGUACCUGAGGAAUAAGCCACGGCUAACUACGUGCCAGCAGCCGCGGUAAUACGUAGGUGGCAAGCGUUAUCCGGAUUUACUGGGUGUAAAGGGCGUGUAGGCGGGAAAGCAAGUCAGAUGUGAAAACCAUGGGCUCAACCUGUGGCCUGCAUUUGAAACUGUUUUUCUUGAGUACUGGAGAGGCAGACGGAAUUCCUAGUGUAGCGGUGAAAUGCUUAGAUAUUGCGCAGAACUCCGAUUGCGAAGGCAGCAUACCGGCGGCGAUCUGACGCUGAGGCACGAAAGCGUGGGUAUCGAACAGGAUUAGAUACCCCUGUAGUC